CCUACGGGAGGCAGCAGUGGGGGAUAUUGCACAAUGGGGGGAACCCUGAUGCAGCGACGCCGCGUGGGUGAAGAAGCGCCUCGGCGCGUAAAGCCCUGUCAGCAGGGAAGAAAAUGACGGUACCUGAAGAAGAAGCCCCGGCUAACUACGUGCCAGCAGCCGCGGUAAUACGUAGGGGGCAAGCGUUAUCCGGAUUUACUGGGUGUAAAGGGGGCGCAGACGGCGAUGCAAGCCAGGAGUGAAAGCCCGGGGCCCAACCCCGGGACUGCUCUUGGAACUGCGUGGCUGGAGUGCAGGAGGGGCAGGCGGAAGUCCUGGUGUAGCGGUGGAAUGCGUAGAUAUCAGGAGGAACACCGGUGGCGAAGGCGGCCUGCUGGACUGCAACUGACGUUGAGGCCCGAAAGCGUGGGGAGCAAACAGGAUUAGAUACCCCAGUAGUC
rnacentral:rRNA from 1 species